rnacentral:rRNA from 1 species
CACGGGGGGAGCAAGCGUUGUUCGGAUUCAUUGGGCGUAAAGAGCUCGUAGGCGGCCCUGUAAGUCGGAAGUGAAAGACCACGGCUCAACCGUGGAUACGCUUUCGAAACUGUGGGGCUUGAGGCCGGGAGAGGAGAUCGGAAUUCCUGGUGUAGCGGUGAAAUGCGUAGAUAUCAGGAGGAACACCGGUGGCGAAGGCGGAUCUCUGGACCGGUACUGACGCUCAGGAGCGAAAGCCAGGGGAGCAAACAGG